rnacentral:rRNA from 1 species
CCAAAUGGGCCAGUGCAAAUCCUACUUGGAUAACUGUGGUAAUUCCAGAGCUAAUACAUGCAACUGAUAUCCCGAAGGCGGUGUUCGUGCUUGCUUGUCUUGCGCUUGCAUUGCUCUGACGGAUGCUUUUAUUAGACCAAACCGCUGAGGACUUGAGGGUUCGCGCUCUCUUGUUUGACUCGUGUGAUGGUGACUCUGGAUAACCAUUCUGACAAGCGCACGUACUUCUCUUCUGAGCGAGACGGCGCUGCCACUUUCGAGUGUCUGCCUUAUCAGCUAUCAACCGUUCGUUAUGCGCGACCGAUGGCUUUGACGGGUAACGGGGAAUCAGGGUUCGAUUCCGGAGAGGCAGCCUGAGAGACGGCUACCACGUCCAAGGACGGCAGCAGGCACGCAAAUUACCCAAUCCCAGCAAAUGGGGGAGGUAGUGACGAAAUCUA